GUAUGAAUGGCUAAAUGAGAGCCCGACUGUCUCCUACGACCAAUCAAUGAAACUGAUCUCCCAGUACAAAAGCUGGAAUACCCACAUAAGACGAGAAGACCCUGUGGAGCUUAAAAUAUUAAUACUACCCACAAGCCCGCCCAACUAUGGAGCACCCAACCAAAAUAGUAUACAUUUUUAGUUGGGGCGACUGCGGAACCAAACCUAACUUCCACGACACCUAUGGCACUCAACCAUACCAAGGUCAACAAACCAACACACCCAUUGACCCAGUACCACUGAUCAACGAACCAAGUUACCCCAGGGAUAACAGCGCCAUCCUCUUCAAGAGCCCAUAUCGCCAAGAGGGUUUACGACCUCGAUGUUGGAUCAGGACCCCCGGGUGGUGCAACCGCUACCAGUGGUUCGUUUG
rnacentral:rRNA from 1 species